GCAGGGUCCCUGAAGAGCAGAGGGCCCUAUGCAGGGCUUGAUCCCAGGACCCUGAGAUCAUGACCUGAGCUGAAGGCAGGCAGAGACUUAACCGAUUGACCCACCCCGGACCACCCCCCCUGCCCCCCGUUUCAGAGUGUUUGCAGGAAAGUAUUCUUUAUUCUCCAGCAGUGCAAACUGUAUUCAGUGCACAGCUAUCAAGGUAGGAGGUAGGUGCUCAGAGUCUGCCAUUUCCAGGGCUGGGGCUGUGCUAGGAGGUACUGUCACAUGAAACAGUUCUCGGGUUUCAUGGAGGGUGAAGGGAGAGAGCCCAGCCUCCAACUCCAGGGAACAGAGACCCUCAGCCACCUCUGCAUCUCCAGUGAUUGCUUGCCUUGCUCCCUGCAGAGUCUCUGGCUGAUGGGUGACUGGGAGGGGAGGGAGAAGGAUGCCACUUGCCAGGGGCUUCUUGUCAGGAACUGGGGAAACUCCAAGAGGAGGAACUGCAAUCUGAGAGAAAAACCCAGCGUCCACGGGAUUUGCGACAGGAGCAGCAGCUGUCACUCAGGCCACCACCAGCGCAACCACAGCUCCUCGAAGAGUCACAGAUGCCGCCGCCACCUCAGUCGAAGCAACAGAAUGCCCAAGAGCCUCUCACCUUUGUGCACAGUCUGCAGGAUUCUUCAAAGCCAGGUCCCCAGCUUGGCUCAGUAGGGACCCAUCAAGCAGGAGAGCAAUCCAAUCUUAACAGAUUCUUAGGAGGAACAAAACCCCUGCAAGGCCCUAGUUUCAGGAAAUCAUUCCAAUCUAAUCCAGAUAAAUACACGGAGCACUCACGAUUCACGUCAACGAAUUACACACAGCAGUGGUGAUCCAGAGAUAGACCCUCAACCCCACUGGGCAUCAGCAAAAAACAAAAACAAAAAACAAACCGCCCCCCCACACACCAGAUGAAUGCCUUCUUACCCUUCUUUCACCUCGGAGCAUCUCCAUUCCAAAUGUGACCCCCUCCUAAUCCACUCUAGAAGAGAAGGCAAGCUGAGAAUAAAAUGUGAUUUCCUCCUAAAAAGAA